UACGUAGGGUCCAAGCGCUAUCCGGAAUCACUGGGCGUAAAGCGUGCGUAGGCGGCGUGUUAAGUGUGAUGUUAAAUCGUGUGGCUCAACCAUAUCGAUGCAUUGCAUACUGGCACGCUAGAGGAAGGCAGAGGCAAGUGGAACUAGUAGUGUAGCAGUGAAAUGCGUAGAGAUUACUAAGAACACCAAUGGCGAAGGCAGCUUGCUGGGCCUUUUCUGACGCUGAGGUACGAAAGCGUGGGGAGCGAACAGG
rnacentral:rRNA from 1 species